rnacentral:lncRNA from 1 species
CCCACGUGAAUUUGCCCCCGCCCUGAGUCAGAACCCUAGAGGGGUGAAAUCCCUGAAUUCUGCAGAGGAAACCCAUACUUCUUUGCUUUUUCAGCAAUUCCAGGAGAUGUCGUUUUUCAAGUGGCAAAUGUGUGGCUCUAGAGGACAGAGUAACCACCUUGCAGCCAAGAAGCCCUGAUGUCAACUCCCAGCUCUGCUGCAGCACCCAGAAAUCACCGGACCUUUCUGCAUCUUUCUGGGUGACUCUGUCAUGAGGAUUUCAUAAUGUAAUUCCCUAGCACAUAAGAAUUUCUCAACCAAUAUGGCUUUCUUUUUUCCUUCUCACUAGUCUUUGAGCUUCUUAAAGGGAAGACAUGUCCUAUUCAUCUCUACACCCCCCACACCAGUCUGCAUUCAGUAAGUGCUCAAUCAAUGUCUGCUGAAUCACAUCUUCCCACUCAACUGCAUGGCCUCGGAUGAUCCAAUUCUGUGGGACUCAGGGUCUCCCUGAUUCUGAAGAUCUCCAUUUCAGCCACCCCAUCCUGGUGCUUUUUCUGGAGAGACUGGGAAAAAGGAGACAGAAGAAUCCACUCUAGCUGAGACUCCAGAUUGCCUGGGCUGUAAUUUACGGUGCUAUCACAAAGGGGUCCUUUUUCCGCAUGGUGCUCUGCGGUGAUGAGCCAGAAGCUGAAGCUGAGGGGUCUUAUUGGCUGUGCAAACUUGAGGGAGUUGCCUAACCACUCUGGGCCCUGUUUUCCUGGCUUUGCCACUCUUCAGCUGUGUGACCCGGGGAAGCUCUCAACCUCUUUGUGCCUCCAUUUCCACAUCUGUAAAAUGGGGAUAUGAAAGUGGCUGCUUUGUGAAGAGUCCUGAGAAUAAAUGAGUUAAGGAAAACUGAUAUGGAUAAAUAUGGAAGAGAGCUGGCCAGUGGAUGAAAUGGUGAUGUAAAGGUGAGCUUUGCGGAAGAGUGGAGAAAAGAGAUUGGCACUGAAGUGGGCAGUGAAAGAGCAAGAGGCUUGUGGGAGACUUGAUUUCAGAGGCAGCGUUUGGAUGGUUAUGAACAGGCUUUCCUCUUCUUUCAGGGGUACCGUAAAGAUCAGAAUUAAUAGUAUGACUAUUUGGUUUGGAGGCUGUUUCAUUAAGUAUUACACUGUGGAGAGACUGGAUCACAUGGGUCAUAUUAUUUAUUCAGGUUACAUUCACACUCCCUGUGAAUUCCCACCCUAUGCAAACUGGCAAGAAAACGCUAUUUUAAAAGAUUCUUGAACGCUUUUGUAUCUUUCUUAAGACUUUUGUAUACAGCACUGUUCACAUAGUAGGUAGUCAAAAUUAGUGAGAAAGACUCAAGCAAAAAGUUUAUUUGGAUUUCCAUAUGAUUUAUAAGCCAAGACGCUAUAAUCCAAAGAGGCAGGAAAAUGAUGUAAACUAGAAAUAAAAAUAUUUGUAAGUGACAAUGUGUCCUGAAUUCUUUGACAGGUUAAGAGAAAUAAAAGCAGGAGACGAGGAGAGAGUCACACCACGGCUCUGCAGCCCACACCACCUUGGAACCAAACAGGGAGGUGGCAGAACUGAUGGGCUGGCCGCACCACCUUAAAUCUCUUAGCUCCAAAACUGGAGGUGCUCAUCAGGACCCUGCAUCAUUUCUGUGGGUGAUGGAUGGUGUGAGGUAAGGCACAGAGAUCUAGACUUAUUUCUCCUUCCACAACAAUUGUUUCUUGGAAGAGGAAGAAAACUUAGCUGGAUUUUAUCUCUUUGUGUGGAUUUCUGGGGUAGACACCCAGAGGUGUGUGCAGGAGCAUGCUCUUUGGGGCCCACAUAGAGAUUCCAGCAGGUGCUGGAGAUUCUGGGGUAGCCUUUCCAUGACUGCUGGCCUCUUUUCCCCUGUGUUGCUUUGGUUUGCUGUCUGGCUAAAGGCAGGAGUGGGAGAAACUCACAUUCCACAAGAGGCUGCCUGGAGCAGAGGCCAAGAGGGUAAGGUUUGUCCAAGGCCUUCCAUCUCAGCUUUGCUGCCAAUUUGUCAGAAAAAAAAUCAUUUGUGCCAAUUAGACCCUGGUUAGGAAAGUGUUGUCCUGUCUGGGAAGCAGGUACAGAAACCAGUUGCAAGGACAGGAGAUCAAUGAAAGUGACACAUUACUUAUGCCUCCAAUUCUUCUCAGCCCUCAAUUUAGUCUCUGAGACACAGAGAAAAUAAGUGUACUUGCCUUGCUAAUGGGUACAUGGUUGGCUUUGGGCAAUUUAUAUAGAGCACUUUAGUUCCAAGAUGAAAUGCACUGAGAUAUUAGGAUUAGUCUCUGCUUUAAUGAGUUUCUGACUUGCAGGUUUGAAAAAAUUUAGUUCUUUUCUGUAUUUCUCUACAAACACAAAACAAUGAUUUAAUGGUAAAACAACAAUGAAAAGAAACUAGGCCAUUCUCUCCAAAAUGAUUAAAAGGGUACUUCUCCUGACCUGACAUAACCUUUCCUCAUAUGAAUUUAUUAUCUGUAUUCACACUCAUAUUCCACUGGAAUGCCUUGGGUCCAGGUGGAUGGUUGCUUAUGGUUAGUAUCGAUUCUGAGCAGGUAGGCAUUCAUACUGUUUGGUUGACGCCUGUGGUGAACAGACCUUAAGGUGACUUCUUGCACCCCUGAGUCAUUUUCUUGUAUAAUCUCCUCUCUUUGAGGACACAAACUGUGCCCUGCUUCAAACCAGUGGAAUAGAGACAAGGUGAUGAGAUCUUUGGUUAUUGCACCUAACUGCUUCAUUCAUUGCACAAUUAGUCACACGCUGUUUUGUGAUGCAGAACAUUUUUUUUUAAGAGAUGGUAGUCUCACUCUGACACCCAGGUUGGAGUGCAGUGACAUGAUCAGAGCUCACUGCAGCCUCAAACUCCUGGGCUCAAGGGAUCCUCCUGCCUCAGCCUCCUGAGUAGCUGGGACUAGAGGUGCGUGCCACCACACCCAGCUAUUUUUUAUUUUUUGUAGAAAUGGAGUCUCACUUUGUGGCCCAAGCUGGUCUCCAACUCCUGGGCUCAAGUGAUCCUCCCACCUUGGCUUAUCAAAUUGCUGGGAUCACAGGUUUGAGCCACCGUGCUUGGACUGUGAUGCAAAAUUUUAUCUAAACCUUGUAUUGUUGACUAUAGCAUCAUGCACUUACUAUUUUCCCUCUUAACUAGAUUUUAAGUCUCUUGAGGGCAAGAACUCUGUUCUUGAAGAUUUUCAGAAGCCCGAUAGCAUAUGGAAGUACUUGACACACAAUAAGUACACAGUCAUAUGUGAUUUGGUUUCUGAGCCUUCAUUUGUCCAACAAAACCAGAUGGGUCUUAGAUGAAGAUAUACGUGGCAAACACUGCAUGCCUACUGUGGGUCAGGUUAGCUCCCAGACAUGCAGAAAACAAAAGCUCUGUCCUCAGGAGUUCAUGAUGGUUCAACCCAAUCAACGAAGUCUUGCAAUCUCACUUCCUCCUUACCUUGUAGAGUUGGAAGAUAUCCAAAUAUUCCUAGAGUUCUUUGUCAAUCUGUCAGGAUUAUAAUUCCACAGAUCAGGCAGAGUGUAACCAUGAAGCUCUUCAGUGAAUUUUUAGUGACUUUUGGGUGAUUUUUUAGUUUCCAAGUAGAAGAAGCAAAAGACCCUUGUGGUGGUUACCUUCCAUCUAAACAGAGAGUGAGCUACAAAGAUACUGCUGUCCCUCAGUGGCCCAUGGGUGUCCCUGCAAAUCUGUGACUCAAGUGGCCAUAUUCAUAUUAAGCAGACCAGAGAUCAAAACCAUAUUAGGCAUGAACCACUUUUUAUUCAUAGGCUUACCGAAUAUAU